rnacentral:rRNA from 1 species
CUACGGGAGGCAGCAGUGGGGAAUAUUGGGCAAUGGACGAAAGUCUGACCCAGCGACGCCGCGUGAGGGAAGAAGGUCUUCGGAUUGUAAACCUCUGUUGAUAGGGAAGAAGAAAGUGACGGUACCUAUCGAGGAAGCCACAGCUAACUACGUGCCAGCAGCCGCGGUAAUACGUAGGUGGCAAGCGUUAUCCGGAAUUACUGGGUGUAAAGGGUGUGUAGGCGGGACUGCAAGUCAGAUGUGAAAACUAUGAGCUUAACUCAUAGCCUGCAUUUGAAACUGUGGUUCUUGAGUGUCGGGGGUAAAUGGAAUUCCCAGUGUAGCGGUGAAAUGCGUAGAUAUUGGGAGGAACACCAGUGGCGAAGGCGAUUUACUGGACGUCAACUGACGCUGAGACACGAAAGCGUGGGGAGCAAACAGGAUUAGAUACCCUUGUAGUC